rnacentral:rRNA from 1 species
UACGAAGGGGGCUAGCGUUGUUCGGAAUCACUGGGCGUAAAGCGCACGUAGGCGGAUCUUUAAGUCAGGGGUGAAAUCCCGAGGCUCAACCUCGGAACUGCCUUUGAUACUGGGGAUCUCGAGUCCGGGAGAGGUGAGUGGAACUGCGAGUGUAGAGGUGAAAUUCGUAGAUAUUCGCAAGAACACCAGUGGCGAAGGCGGCUCACUGGCCCGGAACUGACGCUGAGGUGCGAAAGCGUGGGGAGCAAACAGGGAGUUAGAUAUCCCCGGAGACGUUC